rnacentral:rRNA from 1 species
GACGAACGCUGGCGGCGUGCUUAACACAUGCAAGUCGAACGGAAGGGCCCUGCUUUUGUGGGGUGCUCGAGUGGCGAACGGGUGAGUAACACGUGAGUAACCUGCCCUUGACUUUGGGAUAACUUCAGGAAACUGGGGCUAAUACCGGAUAGGAGCUCCUGCUGCAUGGUGGGGGUUGGAAAGUUUCGGCGGUUGGGGAUGGACUCGCGGCUUAUCAGCUUGUUGGUGGGGUAGUGGCUUACCAAGGCUGUGACGGGUAGCCGGCCUGAGAGGGUGACCGGCCACAGUGGGACUGAGGUACGGCCCAGACUCCUACGGGAGGGAGCAGUGGAGAAUAUUGCACGAUGGGCGGAAGCCUGAUGCAGCAACGCCACGUGCGGGAUGACGGCCUUCGGGUUGUAAGCCGCUUUCGCCUGUGACGAAGCGUGAGUGACGGUAAUGGGUAAAUAAGCACCGGCUAACUACGUG